rnacentral:lncRNA from 1 species
UCCCUCCCUUCCAUAACCUGUCUUGCCACUAUCUGAGCCCCCAUAUUUGUAUAAACUCAAGAUGGUGGAUAAGCUUCUGUAUCCCACUGAGGGGUUGGGGUAAUCACUUUGUGGUUCUCUCUCAUGUAUGUUAAUAAAUAUUUCCUGUUAAAGCCGAGGCAGGAGGAUUGCUUGAGCCCAGGAGUUCAAAGGUGCAGUGAGCUCUGAUCAUGAAACUGUACUUCAGCCUCUCUGGACAGAGCAAGACCUUGUCUCUAAAAUAUAAAUGAAUCAAUUUAUUCUAUUAAUCUGCCUUUCAUCAGUUGAUUUUUCAGCAAACCUUCAGAAGGCAAAGGGGAAGUUUUCCUUUGGCCCCCACAGACCCAUGCUGGGGGACGUCCUGAGGAUGGGUGAGGAGAGAAAUCUUCCAGGACAAGAAAGUGAAGGCAACCCAGUUAGGAGGCAUCUGGGACUUUCCUGGCCAACUCUGAAGACAUCAAGUUGAACCAUGACCCGGAUUCGGUCUUGGAAGCAGAUGAGAGGGUAAAGAGUUGAAGCCAGGUCUACACUCUGAUUCCUCCAAGUCACCGAGUGGUUUCAUGUGAAAGGGGUCUGGGCAGGAGUGAGCCGAGG